UACGGAGGGUGCAAGCGUCGUCCGGAUUCAUUGGGUUAAAGGGUGCGUAGGCGGCCCUGUAAGUCAGCGGUGAAAUCCCACGGCUCAACCGUGGAACUGCCGUUGAUACUGCAGGGCUUGAGUUCGCCCGAGGUCGCUGGAAUGCGUGGUGUAGCGGUGAAAUGCAUAGAUAUCACGCAGAACACCGAUUGCGAAGGCAGGUGACUGGGGCGCGACUGACGCUGAGGCACGAAAGUGUGGGGAGCAAACAGG
rnacentral:rRNA from 1 species